GAUAAUUUUAUUUAAGUGUAUUAUUUUAAGAUAUUUGGUUGGGGUGACCAGGAUAAAAUGAAAGAUAACUGUCUUAUAUAUUACAAUAAUUUUUGGGUUGUUGAUCCUAAAAGGGAUUAAAAGAUUAAGUUACUUUAGGGAUAACAGCGUAAUUUUCUUUAAGAGUUCUUAUCAACAAGAGAGUUUGCGACCUCGAUGUUGAAUUAAAAGUUCUUUAUAGAGCAGAGACUAUAAUAGAAGGUCUGUUCGACCUUUAAAUUUUUACAUGAUUUGAGUUCAGACCGGCGUGAGCCAGGUGGU
rnacentral:rRNA from 1 species